CCUUAGGAAAUAAUGUAUCUAUGUAUUUGUAUGACUCUGGUUUAAAGUCAUAUAAACGAAAAAUAUACAUAAUAAACAUAAAACUCAUAAAUCCACCCUUCAUAUACUUAAUGAAUUCUUGGUCUGAACAUUUUGAGGAACUGGAACCAGAACCAAUAAUAAUAAGCAUUCGGACUCAUUUCAAUUAUUGACCUGCUAGCAAAGAAAAGAACAACAAAAUUAUUCGAAAAUUGACAAGUGGAGGGACUGUCACGCUUUGAUCCUAAUUUUUGACAAAAAACCAAAUUUUAUGUAAAAAAUGAAUUAAGAAAAAUAGUUGUGAAAUUAUGUGUUAUUCAAAAUUGACACCGAAAUUUCGUAAGCUAUAAAGGCUUACCUCGGUGUCCUUACGAUUACGAUUGAGGAUUGGACUGACAAAAUACAAGAGCGGAACCCUCGGGACUCUGGUUUCCCGAUCGUAGUCAAAAAGAGAAAAAAUAACAGACCAAACCAACAUGAUUUGUAUGUCCAUGUGUACGAUGAUUGCUGCGGCUUCGGUACUGGCGUGUUUCCCCGUCAUCAACAAACACUUGAAGCUACAAAAGAUAUUGAAUUGUCUGAAGGGCAAAUCGUAGUUUCACCGAUACGAGAUGAUCGUUUGUUAUAUACCAAUUAUUAUAAGCCCAACGGUUAUCCUCGUUAUAAGCUGCAGUUGUAUCCUCUUGACGACAGUGCUAUAUAACUGCUGGCCAUGUAUUAAGAUCUCUAUGAUUGAGAACAAGCCGCAAGAGCCUGAAAAACCUAAGACAAUGCCACGCUUUUAUUAUUAAUUUUGUGUGUUUAUGUGAAUAAAGUACCUCUACACAAUCA